AUUUUCUUUAAAUUUAAAGAAUUUGGCGGUAGCUUAGUCUAGUCAGAGGAACCUGCUUCUAUUAUCGAUAUGACACGUAGAAUCUUACUUAUUUUUGUUUUUAGCUUGUAUACCAUCAUUAACAGAUAAUUUUUAAAAAAUAAAAUUAUUAAAAAUAAUUGUUUUAAUAAAAUUAGAUCAAGGUGCAGCUGAUAAAUAAGUUGAGGUGGGUUACAAUAAGAUUUACUUAAACGGAGAAAAAAAAAGAAAAUUUGUUAGGAAGGAGGAUUUGAUUGUAAUAUGAAUUUAAUAAGUUUAUGAGAUAGGAGCUCUAAGCUGCGUACACAUCGCC
rnacentral:rRNA from 1 species